CAAACAUGCCCUUAAUGCUUCCUAAAGUUUUAAAUUUUAGUCUAAAGUACAGAAAAUUAUUCUGCAGAUAUUUACUUUUUCACUUUUUUAAAAUUUUUUAAAUUUUAUAUUUUGUCCUUUAAAACUUUUUGAAAUAUUUUUAAAAGGUUUGGCAUUAAUGGAGAAAGCGAAAUUACUAUAUUACCCUUACUUUCUAUAAAAAAAAAUAGUUUUUAUUAUUGUAUUUCUGUUAUUUUUUAGGGUAUUUUCGGAAUGAAUUAUAAGGAAAUAGGCGGAAUCCUAGCGGAGGGAGGCGAAAUGUAUUAGCUUGAAAUUUUGAGGGGGUAAAAUAUAAAUUUUUAAAAAUUAGAGGAAAAAUAAAAUGUUGAAAAUAUUGAAUAUUUAUAGAAAAAAUUGAUGUAUUUCACCCUCAAUUUUGGAUUAAAAAUGUGAAGUUAAUGUAAACAUUCGGAUCGAACUAAAGCUCAAAAUUAUUCUUCUUUUGUUGUUAAUUUAUAUAGUUGUGUAACUAAAGUUUUUUUCGGUUAUACUGUUUAUUUGGCAAAUAAAUGACAAUAAAGCUGAAGAGCGGAAAUUACGUAAAUAUUUUAUUAUUUAUUUCUCCUCUGUCAUUUGUCGUAAUUAACUUCCACCUUUCGUUAUUUUGGCGAGUAUAAAUUUUAGCUGAAAAUAAAGUUACGGUGAACUGAACAACAAAAGUAGAUAUUUAUGAUCGAAAACCACUUCACCUAUGUCUGCUUUAAGGCGCCGUUUGAUUGCAUGUUGUUGCAACUUUCCUGCAGUUGUAACUGCAUGUAAAUACAAAUUCGGUAUUUGCUUUGAUAUAUUUAAUUCCAACUGUUACAGUAGAAGCUGCAGGAGGAGACCGAAUUACAGCAAUUGGAACUACACCCAAAUUGGCCGUAGUUCCAAUAGCAGCAGUUUGAGAGAAUAACCUUAAGCGAAAGAUAAGUUUACCUCCUUAAUUAUUUUUAAAAUUUAUUUUCUUUUAUAUUGGAGGUAAUUUCACCAUCAUAUUUAUAUAAUAAUAAACUCUUAAAAAUUAUUUCUCAAUUGCAUACAAUCAAAUAUAGUUGCAGUGUUUUCUACUACAUCCAACCAAACAGAAUGCAUAUACUUACAUUUGCUGCAUUUUUAACUACAUACAUCUUCAAUUAUACUAUAUUUGUAUUUACCCCUAAGUCGUU
rnacentral:lncRNA from 1 species